rnacentral:rRNA from 1 species
UACAGAGGUCUCAAGCGUUGUUCGGAUUCAUUGGGCGUAAAGGGUGCGUAGGCGGCGUGGUAAGUCGGAUGUGAAAUCUCGGAGCUUAACUCCGAAACUGCAUUCGAUACUGCCGUGCUUGAGGACUGGAGAGGAGACUGGAAUUUACGGUGUAGCGGUGAAAUGCGUAGAUAUCGUAAGGAAGACCAGUGGCGAAGGCGGGUCUCUGGACAGUUCCUGACGCUGAGGCACGAAGGCCCAGGGGAGCAAACGGG